GUUGGGGUUGGGGUCACCGUAGUGGUGGUGGUGAUGGGUGUCGAUGUUGGGGUCUGUGUGCCGGUGGGUGUUGGGGUUGGGGUCACCGUAGUGGUGGUGCUGAUGGGUGUCGAUGUUGGGGUCACCGUAGUGGUGGUGGUGAUGGGUGUCAGGGUUGGGGUCUGUGUGCCGGUGGGUGUUGGGGUUGGGGUCACCGUAGUGGUGGUGGUGAUGGGUGUUGGGGUUGGGGUCUGUGUGCCGGUGGGUGUUGGGGUUGGGGUCACCGUGGUGGUGGUGGUGAUGGAUGUCGGUGUUGUUCUCUUGGUGGUGAUGGGUGUCGGGGUUGGGGUCUGUGUGCUGGUGAUUGUUGGUGUUGG
rnacentral:lncRNA from 1 species